UACGUAGGGUGCAAGCGUUAAUCGGAAUUACUGGGCGUAAAGCGUGCGCAGGCGGUGAUGUAAGACAGUUGUGAAAUCCCCGGGCUCAACCUGGGAACUGCAUCUGUGACUGCAUCGCUGGAGUGCGGCAGAGGGGGAUGGAAUUCCGCGUGUAGCAGUGAAAUGCGUAGAUAUGCGGAGGAACACCGAUGGCGAAGGCAAUCCCCUGGGCCUGCACUGACGCUCAGUGCACGAAAGCGUGGG
rnacentral:rRNA from 1 species